rnacentral:rRNA from 1 species
GACGAACGCUGGCGGCGUGCUUAACACAUGCAAGUCGAACGGGAUUUUGUAGACAGAAGCCUCUGCUAAAGAUUACUAAUGAUAGUGGCUAACGGGUGAGUAACGCGUGAGCAACCUGCCUAUGACAUUGGGAUAGCCUCGGGAAACCGUGAUUAAUACCGCAUAAAAUCGUAGAAACUCAUUUUUCAACGCCCAAAGAUUUAUCGGUCAUAGAUGGGCUCGCGUCUGAUUAGCUAGUUGGUGAGAUAACAGCCCACCAAGGCGACGAUCAGUAGCCGCUCUGAAAGGAUGCACGGCCACAUUGGAACUGAGACAACGUCCAAACUCAUACGGGAGGCAGAAGUGGGGAAUAUUGCACAAUGGGGGAAGCCCUGAUGCAGCGACGCCGCGUGAACGAAGAAGGUAUUCGUAUCGUAAAGUUCUGUCCUAUGGGAAGAUACUGACAGUACCAUAGAAGAAAGCUCCGGCCAAAUACGUG